ACACAGACACACUAUCAUUUGGUUCUAAACAAUGACACACACUAAUAUUUAGAUGUACACAAAGACACAAUAAACGAUUAGAUGUACACACAGACACACUAACAAUGAGAUCUACACACAGACACACUAUCAUUUGGUUCUAAACAAUGACACACACUAAUAUUUAGAUGUACACAAAGACAAUAACAAUUAGAUGUACACACAGACACACUAACAAUUAGAUGUACACACAGACACACUAACAUUUGGUUCUAAACACAGACACACACUAAUAUUUAGAUGUACUCAAAGACAACAAUUAGAUGUACACACAGACACACUAACAAUUAGAUCCACACACAGACACACUAACAAUUAGAUGUACACACAGACACACUAACAUUUGGUUCUAAACAAAGACACACACUAACAUUUAGAUGUACACAAAGACACAUUAAUAUUUAAAUGUACACAAAGACACAAUAACAAUUAGAUGUACACAAAGACACAAUAACCAUUAGAUGUACACACAGACACACUAACAAUGAGAUCUACACACAGACACACUAUCAUUUGGUUCCAAACAAUGACACACACUAAUAUUUAGAUGUACACAAAGACACACUAACAUUUGGUUCUAAACAAAGACACACACUAAUAUUUAGAUGUACACACAGACACACUAUCAUUUUGUUCUAAACAAAGACACACACUAAUAUUUAGAUGUACACAAAGACAUAUUAAUAUUUAGAUGUACACACAGACACACUAACAAUUAGAUGUACACACAGACACACUAUCAUUUGGUUCUAAACAAAGACACACACUAAUAUUUAGAUGUACACAAAGACACAAUAACAAUUAGAUAUACACACAGACACACUAUCAUUUGGUUCUAAACAAAGACACACACUAACAAUUACAUGUACACACAGACACACUAACAUUUGGUACUAAACAAAGACAAACACUAACAUUUAGAUGUACACAAAGACACACACUAAUACACAAAGACAUAUUAAUAUUUAGAUGUACACACAGACACACUAACAUUUGGUACUAAACAAAGACACACACUAAUAUUUAGAUAUACACAAAGACAUAUUAGUAUUUAGAUGUACACACAGACACACUAACAAUUAGAUGUACACACAGACACACUAACAUUAACAUGUUAAUAACUUUUCUUCUUUUCUCUCUUCUCAGGAACUGCUUUAGAUGUUUUCCCAAUGAUUGUGUUAUUAUUAUUGUUAAAUAUGUCGUCUGUUUAUUAUUUUAACAAUGAAAAUACAUUUUAAUAAAAAUAAAACCAAAUGAA
ensembl:lncRNA